rnacentral:rRNA from 1 species
AAUGAACGUUGGCGGCGUGGAUUAGGCAUGCAAGUCGAGCGCUCAUAGCAAUAUGGGAGCGGCGAACGGCGUAGGAAUUCAUAGGAACGUACCCUCAGGACGGGGAUAGCUACGGGAAACUGUAGGUAAUACCCGAUGAUCUCCGCGGAGCAAAGGUGUGAUUCCGCCUGAGGAGCGGCUUAUGCGAUAUUAGCUAGUUGGUGGGGUAAUGGCCUACCAAGGCGACGAUGUCUAGGGGGUGUGAGAGCAUGGCCCCCCACGACCGGAACUGAGAUACUGUCCGGACACCUACGGGUGGCUGCAGUCGAGAAUCUUCCGCAAUGGACGAAAGUCUGACGGAGCGACGCCGCGUGCGGGAUGAAGGCCCUUGGGUUGUAAACCGCUUUCGGAGGGGAUGAAAUCCUCGAGGGUUCUCCCUCGAGGUUGACAGAGCCUCAAAAGAAGCACGGGCUAAGUACGUG